rnacentral:tRNA from 1 species
GGAUUAUAGCUCAGUGGAAGAGCACUUGCCUAGCAUGUGUGUGGUACUGGGUUCAAUUCUCAGUACCA